UUUUAAAUUAUGGGAGAAUCCAGAUUACCAAAAAACGAACACAAAGCAAAAAGCUCGGAAGGGAGAGAAUGAGGCUACAGAGAAUUGUAGGAUUUUUCAUUGAAAGGGCGGUUGCCUCUCUCUGCAUAUUAGCCUAUGAUUUCUCAAACUAUCCCAACAGCCCUUUUAUAGCCUAUUUUAGAGCCGCUGUUUAUACAUAGGGAGAUUUGCACAAAUAGGAUCAUUUGAAUUUUCACUACAGUAUGCAUUUUCCUUUUACGCUUCCGCCGGAGCAUUUAAUGCUGCCGGUGGCGGUGGCAGAAGUGGUGGUGGUGAAGUAUAAUCGACGUGCUUAAAAGAGGCGAUGAUGAUUUUCACAAAUUUUGUAAUUCCCUUCUGAGCUUAUUAAUUAUUCGGGGCGUUUUGAGAUAAUCCGACCCGUAUCUUGGUGGGGCAUGCCUCCGUUGGGUUUUUGCAGCCAUGGCGUCGCCGGACUCUCUUUUUGCCUGAGCUUAAACACACCUCUGAGCCGGUCUCUUUUCCGGCGAAAUCGAGUUGUAUUUUUUUUGCUCAAAAGCCCUAAUCCCCUUUUUGGCAACCGUGGAAUCAGAAUAUUGGUUUCAGUUCGACCCGAUUUAGAUUUGGAAUGGGCUUUUGAAAUAAGGCCCAAUUGAUUAGGGCGCAAUAUAUAAGAAGUGGCGAUAACACUAAAAUAGCAAAAAUCUCAUUAGUUUAAGUCUGAGGCAGCGGUGAAAGCAGAGAGCUGUAGGGAGUUUUAAUGGGUGGUUUUGCCCCUCUCUGUCAUUCUCCGCCGCCGAUGAUCACUCAAAUGAAAAUUUUCCAAUUGCAAAACCACCCUUAGUUGAUUGAUUUAUUACUCCCUCUGUUCAAAUUUAUUAGAGGCUAUGAAGAUUGUUGUUUGUGAAAAAGACAGACUUAUAAAUCUAUUGAGCUGGAAAAAACUGUAUCUUGGCAUGGCAGCGCAGAUAUGUCUAUGAGAAUGAGAUACAACAACAACAGCAACAUAUAGGCAGACCUUACCCUACCUUGUGGGUCUAUGAGAUAUUGGAGAAAAUCCAUUUUUUUGGGUGUUUUUUUCCUGUCUCAUAAGGCUAACUUAUGCUUGCAGCCAUGGCAGUUUUUUCCAAAGCUUUUUGGGUUUUGUCUGAGAAAAGACGAAUCUGAGCCUACCCCAUUGCUAUUGAUUUUGGUUUUUGGUUUUUGCUUUUUUCUUUGCUACUUGAUUACAUUGGCAAAAAUUUGAGCUCAUACUUCAAUUUAACUUUUGGUUCACUUUUGAGACUGUAACUUUUGAGCAGCAUUGUGGAAAUAAGUCCUUGUAAUAGGAAAACUAAUCUUUAGUUUCUGGUGAUAAGUCCUUCAAGGCAGUAUUACAGACUUGGCAUUAUGCUAAUGUUGAGCAAUACUUAUAUGCCUCAUAAUUUUCAAAUUGAAAAGGAAAACAGAGCUUCUAUGCAUUGUGAGUUAGUCUCUUGACUGCACUUUGUGCAAAAAAGCAGUCUUGAUGGUUAAAAAUAAUGUCAAGACCCAUUGCUUUAAGGUACUCGGCAUUUUGGCAGACAAGAAGUUACAGGUAAUAGGUAUUCCUUCCCAUUAGGCUGAGUAAUACUCUCUAGUAGGAUAAAUGGAGAUCAAGUUCUUACAUGGGACUUCACUGAGAGCAUUUUGGUUCCAGCAUAGCAAAGCUGCCAUAAAGAGCUAUGAUCUAAUGAGCUUGCAAGAAUUGUUUGUAAAAACAUCCAUUUACUUUUUAUUUUUAAUUCUAUAUAGUGAACAGGUAAAUAAAUCCCUGUAUGUGUUCCUUAUUCUCUUUAAAAUGUGGCCCUUGCUGCGAUUGUGCAUUGUGGAAUUUAUGGAUAUCAGAAGAUCUCCAUCUUAAAAGUGCCAUCAACCACAACCAAAGAACAAAUUCUUUUUUUUUAAGAUUUAUGAAGCUCUAGGAAUAUAGAUAAGGUCUAUUUUAGAGUUAACUUUAUUGCAAAAAAUGUACUUUUGAUACUUUAGCCUAUUUUUCUCGGUUCUGUAUUGAUUGAAAAUGUUGCUUCUUGGAUAUGGGUGUGCCUAAAAAUGUUUUCCUUC